rnacentral:misc_RNA from 1 species
UGUCAAAUUGGAUAUUAUGCCAGGUUUAUUUUCUAGAUCUUUAAGCAUCUUGUUGAAAUUUUCUGGUCUUUUGUAGUCACUUAGCCUGAUUUUCUUUAAUUGGUUGGCUCAUACCUCAUGCACUAUGCUUGUCAUUUAUCUUGCAUUGUUUGCUUCUGAAUUCUUAUCAUGGUGGGCACCUUGCAGAUAAAUUAAUAAUUUAUGCUGUUGCAUAGUCUAAAUUAUUGCUUACUUUUUCAUGUAAAGUGUGUGCAACUGGUAACUUUUAUCUUUGGUAGGUGGACGCCUCUUCUCCACUAAAUACAGUUUAACAAAAUGAACUCAUGUAAUUUACUUAAAUAUAUAAAAGAAAGGAGGUUAUGGUACAAGGAAAUUCUCUUAAUGAAACUAGCUAUUAUUUAAAAAAAUUUUCUUUAAUGGCUUGAGUGGCUCUUAAUUAUUGUUGAAAGUUGAUUCCUUUGCAUUGAAGUUAGCUAUUUCUCCACACCUUGUGUCACAGCAAACGAAAAAGUUCUUAGCAUUGUGUUAAGUUCUAUGCAGUAUAUCUUUAAUCAGGUGAAAUGGCAAUUAUGACCCUUGGAAAUACUUUUCUAUUAUCCGCUGUUCCUCAUGGAUACUUCCUGUGAUAGAUUUCCAUUUGGUUUGUGCUUGACGGUUGAGUCUAUGCUGUCUGCAGGAGUGGAUGACAAUGAAACAA